rnacentral:rRNA from 1 species
GACGAAGGGGGCUAGCGUUGUUCGGAAUUACUGGGCGUAAAGCGCGUGUAGGCGGUUGUCCAAGUCGGGGGUGAAAGCCUUGAGCUCAACUCAAGAAAUGCACUCGAUACUGGGCGACUAGAGUGCCGGAGAGGAUAGUGGAAUUCCCAGUGUAGCGGUGAAAUACGUAGAGAUUGGGAAGAACACCAGUGGCGAAGGCGGCUAUCUGGACGGUUACUGACGCUAAGACGCGAAAGCGUGGGGAGCAAACAGG